CUGUGUGACGAAUACAGUCUUCCGGUGGACUUCGUCAACAAGCGGAGGCCCCACAGUUUUGGCGCCGGGCUUGCCAACUGGACCACUCCCAGUCCGGCAGGCGAACAGGUGGAGGUAGUCGAGGCGUACUGCGACCCCCGGGACUCGAAGGCGUACCUGGAACCCGGCGAAGAGGCCAGUGGCAAGCUAUAUACCAGUCCUGACAGAGACUACUCGCAGCCAUACACAGAUGGGUCUUCGGAAGCGAAGGCGUCCGAUCUCGACGAUGACGGCGUGUACGAGGACGUGGGCCUGCCAGUAGAGGCAGCAGAGGACGCCGCCGCCACAACAGGUCCGGCCGCCGCC